CAACGUUCCCCUAUAAAUAUCAAACCUACUCUCAUUCCCAAAACCAUCUCUGGUCUGAUUCAAUCCUUGUUAUGCCGUUCUCCCUCUUCCGUUUUCAUGUUUGCUCGAGUUAAUUGGUUUGUCGUCUAAUUUCCGUUGAUGAUUGCAACUUUGGUGAUCUGGUUGUGUUUUCCAUCGGAUUUCUGCUAACUUUCCUAACGUGCUCGAGCAAUAAUAGACGAUCUAGCGGAUGGUUCAUUAUACUUUUGAUGUUUGUGAUUUCUGUAGAUUGUUCAGCUAAUUUUGAAAUAUUCGGUUGUUUGCAACGGUUGAAGAUCAAAAGCGGUUAUCGUUUCAAGUUUUGAUCGUCUAUUUAGGUUAUGACAUAUUCAUCCGUGAUAAUUCCUGGGCUUACUUUCGUUUGCAUCUGUAGGGGGCAAUCCUUUGGGUAUUAGCUCGAGCUCGUGAUCGUGAUCUAUCGGUUCUGAUGGUCAUUGGCAGUUUUUGGAAGCGCUUAUGGUUUGAUGUGUUUACUUAUACUCUACUAUAGAAAAACGUUUUUAGCUGGUCAGAUGUCCAUCUUGGGGACUUGUUCAUGAAUUUUGUCGCCAUUUUACUUUUUCGUGAUUUUCGCUGUCUAUCUUAUGCCAUAGGUGCUGUUUCCUUGACUUGGUGUCUCCAUAACCUUAAAUUGCAGAUUGAGGGUUGCAGAUAUUUUCUGUUGAAGUGACUAGAUUAGUGACUGGGGACGGCUUAAGCGUGCGAUUUCUUUCUGUUUAACUUGAGCGGUAUCUCUCCCGUUUUUGUGUGCUGUCCUCAUGCCCAUUAACUCACGGUGUCUUAGUUUUACGACCAAAUAUAUUCGAACAUUUACUAUGGUGCCAUAGUUCUAUGACAUUUCUCUUUCUUAUUGAGGUCUUUAGGUAUGAUCUAUGAUGCACUUUUCUCUCUCUCUGCCUCUUCAUUUUUCAGUGUCCUUUGGAAUAUAUUUUCUCACCAAUUUGUCAUAUUUCGUUCAUUUUGGUUUGAUUCUAUAGGUUGACCAUCCCUGAUUCAUCUAGCAUUUAUAUCUAUAGGCUUUUUAGAAGCUUCAAACCAGAUAAGUAUCAUCCAAUUGGUUAAGUGUUGGCUUACUAAUUCCCUUUUUCAUUUGGGUUCAUUGCUAUUUAGCAACUUCACAUCUGUCUUAUGUAGUGCUGAUGUUGGGGUUAAGUAUUUUUCUCAUGUAUUUUUUCCUUGUUUCCCCUCCUGCUUAUAUUUGUCCCUCUAUUUUCAGAGGUUCGACUUUUAGGUGGUUCUAGGUCUUGACAACUGAGAGAUCCGGUUUGACAAGCUUAUCCCUGUUUACUUGCCCUCAUAAAUUUCAUAUCAAAUCAUUUUUUUGGCAUAGCUAACGUUGGGAAAUUAACAAUUAUGUGAUUUUUCAUUCAUCAAAUCUAGCUUGCAGAGUCUUAUGUGGAUCCUAAUCAUGCUGUUAAAUCAGGUAUAUAUUCGUAAUAGUUAGUGUUAGUGCUAAUAUAUCCUGUUGUGCUUUGUUGGGCAUUUUCCAGUGCUAGUGCAUUUGACUCAUGACUGAUUUUGAGGAGUGAAAACAUCUACAUGAAGGUUUGACAAGAAAUAUGGUUGUUUUUCAGUUUUAUAAUUCCAUCAUUACUAUUGGUUUCAUUUCAUUUUUCAGUUGAUGUCCUGUUAUUUGAUUAGCAGCUUUGAUCGAGUCAUAUGGUACUUUUUUGGGGUUGUUUAUGUAGAUAUGGAGAUUGUUUUCUCGCACCUUGUGUCCGGGAAUAUUAGGAAUAAUCAAUGGUUCCAUCCCAGUUGAUGGGUCUUAUGGUGCAGCUAUGUUGAUCCUGUUAUUGGAAAAAGAAUGAACUCUUAGAUGCCGGCAUUGAUAUAGUGUUUAUGGAGUAGUAGAGGGAGUAUAGUGUUUUGUCUACCUCAUUUACCUUAUACCUAGAUUAUCCUCUUGCUUAUCCUUGUCCUUGCCAAUUUCCAGAGAUCGGUGGUUCUUGAUCAGUUUCCAUCAGAAGGCGGUUCUGGUUUGAUGCCUGGCUCCCUUUGCUCCGUUUCAUCAACUUCAAUUUCUAUGUAGAUAUGGAUGUUGUUUUUUUCGACUCACACUGUGACAGGAGAAACUAAUAGUAAUUUAUGAUUGUAUCCAAGUUUGAUGUUGAUGCUGUGGAUCAGAUGUCUUCGUCCUGGCAUUGAUAUAUCAUGCUUAUGGAGGGUAGUAGAGGGAGUAGUAUAUUACUUUACACCAUUUCUCUUCCACGUAGAUCUUCAGCUUACCUACUGUUAUGCUCUUUUAUAUCCAGAGAUCUUUGGUGGCUCUGUAUCAGUUUCCAUAAGAAGGCAGUUAUGGUCUCAUGCUUGGUUCCCUUUGGUCUGUUUCUUCCACUUUACUUAUGUGCAUACGUCAAUGUGGUUGUAGAUAUGGUUGCUUCUUUUUUCAUCCUGUGACAGGUGAUGUUGAGUUAUGGUGCAAUCCAAGUAGGAUCUUAAGAUAUCUGAUGCUGGCAUCUCUAAAAUAUUUUGGAGGCUGACAGAGCUCUGAGUGAGUGGCAUCAAUCGCCCCCCUUUGAGGAGUGUGUGGUGAGAUUGGUCUCUCUUCAUUGCCUUGUCCUGUUUGCUUUAAAAGCUAACGUGAUGGUUUUCCUCACCUUGUGAUCCCUAUGCGGGCAAUCUGUGUGAGAUCAGUGUGCUACUAGUGAAAGAUUGAUUGUGUCUGCUAGUGAAAUAUUUGUUGUGUUCACUUUAUUAGGUUUGUCUUUGUUGUUCAUUUGGAGGUCAUCAGGAAUCUUUCAUACAUCUGUUCAAGGUUAUCGUUUCAUUAUUUCUGUACAUUUCCAUGGAACGUCCUUACAUUUGUUGUUGUUUGCUCUGGCUCCCACCAUAUCUAACAGUACUUGGCGGUCUUUGUUUGGUGUCUGCAAUGAAUGCUCAACUGGACUCUGUGACAGAGGGAGUAAAGUAGCUGUUAUGCUCCAUUUUGUCUUCUACCUUGUGUUAUGCUUAUCUAUGGUUAUGCCCCUUAUUUUCCAGAGGUUUGGUCGUUGGGCGGAUCUCUAUCAGGUUCUGGACUUUUUGUGGCUAAUAGAAAGUUGUGGCUAGUACAUGGACUGCAUCAUAUUUAGGUAUUUCUGUGUCCUGGGUACCCAACUUAAAUUUUCUCCUAUGGGUUCUUCAGUUUUGUCUGCAGUGAUCUUUUCUCUUGAGUAUGUUGUUAUUAUUACGUUGGCUGCCGUGGUUUCUCUGGUCCUGCUUUUGCACAUACACCAAGUAAAACUUUUGGCUCAUGAAUCAGACUUGAUGCUAUGAUAGAGAGGCCGGAGUGGUGUAGGACAUUGUUUGAUCAGAAGCUUCUGGUUCUUUUUGCUGCUCAAAUUGAUUUGAUUAAGAAGGAUUUUGUUGGUCCAUCAAGCAUGACAGGUCGUCAUUUUAUUUCUUGUCUAUUAUCCUUGUUUCUGUGGACCUGCUAUUCUGGUUUGGAGGUUCUCAACUCAGAAUCAUGCUUUUAGGCUGACUUCUAGUAGGCCUUACAACAUUGUAACACAUCUUUUGCUUGCUAACUGCUAUUUUGAAGCACUAUGUAUAGUGGAAAUAAUGACUUCUAGUAGGUCUUGCAACAUUGUAAUGCAUCUUUUGCUAGCUAAUUGCUAUCUUGAAUCACUAUAGUGGGAAUAAAUUGUUGUUAGUUUUGAUA